rnacentral:rRNA from 1 species
CAGCCGCCGCGGUAAUACGAAGGGGGCUAGCGUUGUUCGGAAUCACUGGGCGUAAAGGGUGCGUAGGCGGGAUCUUAAGUCAGGGGUGAAAUCCCGAGGCUCAACCUCGGAACUGCCUUUGAUACUGGGGUCCUUGAGUCCGGAGGAGGUGAGUGGAACUGCGAGUGUAGAGGUGAAAUUCGUAGAUAUUCGCAGGAACACCAGUGGCGAAGGCGGCUCACUGGCUCGAUACUGACGCUGAGGUGCGAAAGCGUGGGGAGCAAACAGGAUUAGAUACCCGAGUAGUCCCUGUCUCUUAUAC